GUGGGGAAUUUUGGACAAUGGGCGAAAGCCUGAUCCAGCCAUGCCGCGUGCAGGAUGAAGGCCUUCGGGUUGUAAACUGCUUUUGUACGGAACGAAAAGACUCCUUCUAAUAAAGGGGGUCCAUGACGGUACCGUAAGAAUAAGCACCGGCUAACUACGUGCCAGCAGCCGCGGUAAUACGUAGGGUGCAAGCGUUAAUCGGAAUUACUGGGCGUAAAGCGUGCGCAGGCGGUUAUAUAAGACAGAUGUGAAAUCCCCGGGCUCAACCUGGGAACUGCAUGUGUGACUGUAUAGCUAGAGUACGGUAGAGGGGGAUGGAAUUCCGCGUGUAGCAGUGAAAUGCGUAGAUAUGCGGAGGAACACCGAUGGCGAAGGCAAUCCCCUGGACCUGUACUGACGCUCAUGCACGAAAGCGUGGGGAGCAAACAGGAUUAGAUACCCCUGUAGUCC
rnacentral:rRNA from 1 species